rnacentral:rRNA from 1 species
AACGAACGCUGGCGGCAGGCCUAACACAUGCAAGUCGAACGAUAAGCCACCUUCGGGUGGUGGACAGUGGCAGACGGGUGAGUAACGCGUGGGAACGUGCCUUUCGGUUCGGGAUAACCCAGGGAAACUUGGGCUAAUACCGGAUACGCCCGUCGGGGGAAAGAUUCAUUGCCGAAAGAUCCGCCCGCGGCGGAUUAGCGAGUUGGUGGGGUAAUGGCCUACCAAGGCGACGAUCCGUAGCUGGUCUGAGAGGAUGACCAGCCACACUGGGACUGAGACACGGCCCAGACUCCUACGGGAGGCAGCAGUGGGGAAUAUUGGACAAUGGGCGAAAGCCUGAUCCAGCCAUGCCGCGUGGGUGAAGAAGGCCUUAGGGUUGUAAACCCCUUUCAGCGGGGACGAUAAUGACGGUACCCGCAGAAGAAGUCCCGGCUAACUCCGUGCCAGCCGCCGCCGUAA